ACACGUAGGGGGCGAGCGUUAUCCGGAUUCAUUGGGCGUAAAGCGCGCGCAGGCGGCGCGCCAAGCGGGACCUCUAAUCUGGGGGCUCAACCCCCAGCCGGGUCCCGAACUGGCGCGCUCGUGUCCGGUAGGGGAGGUCGGAAUUCCCGGUGUAGCGGGGGAAUGCGCAGAUAUCGGGAGGAACACCGAUGGCGAAGGCAGACCUCUGGGCCGCGACAGACGCUGAGGCGCGAAAGCUAGGGGGGCGAACAGGAUUAGAUACCCUGGUAGUCCUAGCCGUAAACGAUGAUAGCUAGGUGUGGGGGGACCGCCCCUCCGUGCCGCAGCCAACGCAUUAAGCUAUCCGCCGGGGGAGUACGGCCGCAAGGCUAAAACUCAAAUGAAUUGGCGGGG
rnacentral:rRNA from 1 species